rnacentral:rRNA from 1 species
UACGAAGGGGGCUAGCGUUGCUCGGAAUUACUGGGCGUAAAGCGCACGUAGGCGGCUCUUUAAGUCGGGGGUGAAAUCCUGGAGCUCAACUCCAGAACUGCCUUCGAUACUGAAGAGCUCGAGUCCGGGAGAGGUGAGUGGAACUGCGAGUGUAGAGGUGAAAUUCGUAGAUAUUCGCAAGAACACCAGUGGCGAAGGCGGCUCACUGGCCCGGUACUGACGCUGAGGUGCGAAAGCGUGGGGAGCGAACAGG